rnacentral:rRNA from 1 species
UACAGAGGGGGCAAGCGUUGUUCGGAAUUACUGGGCGUAAAGGGCGCGUAGGCGGCCUGUUAAGUCGAACGUGAAAUCCCCGGGCUCAACCCGGGAACUGCGUCCGAUACUGGCAGGCUUGAAUUCGGGAGAGGGAUGCGGAAUUCCAGGUGUAGCGGUGAAAUGCGUAGAUAUCUGGAGGAACACCGGUGGCGAAGGCGGCAUCCUGGACCGAUAUUGACGCUGAUGCGCGAAAGCCAGGGGAGCAAACGGG